rnacentral:rRNA from 1 species
GACGAACGCUGGCGGCGUGCUUAACACAUGCAAGUCGAACGGAAAGGCCCCUUUGGGGGUACUCGAGUGGCGAACGGGGGAGUAACACGUGAGUAACCUGCCCUUGACUUCGGGAUAACUUCAGGAAACUGGGGCUAAUACCGGAUAGGAAUCCUUGCUGCAUGGUGGGGGUUGGAAAGCUUCGGCGGUUUUGGAUGGACUCGCGGCUUAUCAGCUUGUUGGUGGGGUAGUGGCUUACCAAGGCUUUGACGGGUAGCCGGCCUGAGAGGGCGACCGGCCACAUUGGGACUGAGAUACGGCCCAGACUCCUACGGGAGGCAGCAGUGGGGAAUCUUGCACCAUGGGCGGCAGCCUGAUGCAGCAACGCCGCGUGCGGGAUGACGGCCUUCGGGUUGUAAACCGCUUUCAGCAGGGGCGAAGCUUGUGGUGACGGUACCUGCAGAAGAAGCACCGGCUAACUACGUG